rnacentral:rRNA from 1 species
AGAGUUUGAUCCUGGCUCAGGAUGAACGCUAGCGGCAGGCUUAACACAUGCAAGUCGAACGGCAGCGGGGAUUCACUUCGGUGAAUCUGCCGGCGAGUGGCGCACGGGUGAGUAACACGUAUGCAACCUGCCUCUGUCAGGGGUAUAACUCUGCGAAAGUAGGGCUAAUACCGCGUAUAUUCCCGGAGGGCAUCCUCCGGGGAGGAAAGGUUUCGGCCGGACAGAGAUGGGCAUGCGGCGCAUUAGGCAGUUGGCGGGGUAACGGCCCACCAAACCGACGAUGCGUAGGGGUUCUGAGAGGAAGGUCCCCCACACUGGUACUGAGACACGGACCAGACUCCUACGGGAGGCAGCAGUGAGGAAUAUUGGUCAAUGGGCGCGAGCCUGAACCAGCCAAGUCGCGUGAGGGAAGACGGUCCUAUGGAUUGUAAACCUCUUUUGUCGGGGAGCAAAAGACGUCACGUGUGGCGUUCCGAGAGUACCCGAAGAAAAAGCAUCGGCUAACUCCGUGCCAGCAGCCGCGGUAAUACGGAGGAUGCGAGCGUUAUCCGGAUUUAUUGGGUUUAAAGGGUGCGCAGGCGGAAGAUCAAGUCAGCGGUAAAAUUGAGAGGCUCAACCUCUUUCGAGCCGUUGAAACUGGUUUUUCUUGAGUGAGCGAGAAGUAUGCGGAAUGCGUGGUGUAGCGGUGAAAAUGCAUAGAUAUCACGCAGAACUCCGAUUGCGAAGGCAGCAUACCGGCGCUCAACUGACGCUGAGGCGCGAAAGCGUGGGGAGCAAACAGGAUUAGAUACCCUGGUAGUCCACGCCGUAAACGAUGGAUACUAGGUGUGGGGGGACUGACCCCCUCCGUGCCGCAGCUAACGCAAUAAGUAUCCCACCUGGGGAGUACGAUCGCAAGGUUGAAACUCAAAGGAAUUGACGGGGGCCCGCACAAGCGGUGGAGUAUGUGGUUUAAUUUGAAGCAACGCGAAGAACCUUACCAGGGCUUGACAUCCUACUAACGAACCAGAGAUGGAUUAGGUGCCCUUCGGGGAAAGUAGAGACAGGUGGUGCAUGGUUGUCGUCAGCUCGUGUCGUGAGAUGUUGGGUUAAGUCCCGCAACGAGCGCAACCCCUAUCUUCAGUAGCCAGCAUAUAGGAUGGGCACUCUGGAGAGACUGCCAGGGACAACCUGGAGGAAGGUGGGGACGACGUCAAAUCAUCAUGCCCCUUAUGGCCAGGGCUACACACGUGCUACAAUGGCGUAAACAAAGGGAGGCGAGCCCGCGAGGGGGAGCAAAUCCCAGAAAUAACGUCUCAGUUCGGAUUGUAGUCUGCAACUCGACUACAUGAAGCUGGAAUCGCUAGUAAUCGCGAAUCAGAAUGUCGCGGUGAAUACGUUCCCGGGUCUUGUACACACCGCCCGUCAAG